rnacentral:lncRNA from 1 species
UGUUUUUUUUCUGUCUAUCAAUUUUUUAUUUUUGGUUGGGUUCAUGGGCCAAGCCCAAUAUUGCAGCCUUUUUAUUGUUGGGCCGUUGCCUUUUUGUCUCAACAGUUUCAUUUUUUCUUUUUAUAAAGUGGGUUCACUAGUCAGGUGGGUCCCCAUUGUCAGGUUCUAGUACUAGGUCCUAGCCGGCAAUAUUCUUCAUUUUUUUAAUUUAACACAAAUAAAUACCUAGUAUUUAAAUUGGCACACAGAACACACGAAAUACUUCAAAUAUUAUCAACCAUCAAAGUGCUACAUCAUAUAACACACAUACAAAUGUGAUCAGCAUCAAGUUUACAAUCAGAUAACAAGCUCCACAAGUGUACAAUCACAUGAGCCAGAUUCUACUACAUCAUAUAACACACAUACAAAUAGGAGCAGCAUAAAGGGCUUCAUUACUCUCAGAACUAGCUCCAAUGAGCUAGAACUAUUCUUCCUCCGACUUCUUUGUCCUGAUGCUCACGAAGAAACAUGAAAGCCCAGCAUCUGCACGUUACAUAACAAAAUGUUUAGGAACAAAAUAGAAGUAAAUCUAACAGCAUAUUUCACAAUAAAUAGCCCAGCAUCUGCACGUUACAUAACAAGAUGUUAAUAUGCCAUCAUACUAGUUGAUAGACAAACAUUCCAGGAAGAAUUGAUGCUUGUUUAAUGGGUACAAUCAAUACUGCUAUCUCUAACAGACAAAUUUAAGGUUUUUAAUACAUUUUUUCUAUUAGCAAAACUGAAUAUGCUACUUCCUGAUGCAUGGCUGCAUAGUCCAGCUAGCUACACCAGUUUGCUCUCAUGCAAAAAUUAGAAAGAAAAAAAAGAACAACAAAUAAAUCAACACUGAUUUCUCUAACACGUACAGUAACUUGAUGAUAUAACUUUCUCCUAAUUGCAUUCUCAUAUGAAUGGGCCAACAUGUGAUGUUACUAUUCGGUGUGCUAUUGGCCGAAGCAAAGGAAGCCUCACCCACGCCUUGUACUAAUGCAACUAGCUUAAUUGAUUUUUCCUACUUAGAAAUAGUACUACACUUUGACUUGCUUCAACUCAGCCGAAAGCUUCAUACUAGCACAACCAGCAACAAACUAGCACUAGCCAGAACGAAUCAGGAGGCCAGCAAAGGGACACCAGGUUGAUCCCACAAAAAAAACACCGGCGAUUGAGAAAGAUACCUCGAUACCCAGCCACAAGCACAUCCGUAGCAGCUCCAGCGACGAUAGCAGAAGGACCAAGCAUCCAGCCACGGCUACGACUAUGGAUGGCAAAGAAGCCACUGACAGCAACUGCAGCAAAGGACACCUACCCGGCCUUGUCUACAACAAUCAACAAACCAGAAAUCAGAACGAAUACUUCAAUCUCAUAAGAUGUCUCUGUGACUAUUAUAAGCCUGGAAUUGCAAUUCUAAGGCCUGGAGAUAGAUAGUAUAGUACAUGACAGUAUGCAGAACAGCAAGAGUAAACACUAGAAGGAUUUUAGGAUCCAAGCAAUUGUGUCCAUCGAGAUACCGUGCCUAAUUACAAGGCAGUGGCUUGGGUAAUUAACAUAAAGAUCCUAGCUAAUCGCAGCCACCAUAAGGGUCCAGCUACUGAAUCGGCUCAUGCUCAUGCUUGAAUCAGAAAGGGAGAAAGCUAAAAAAUAGAAAUUCUGAAUCGGACUGAACCAGACCAGAGCCAACAGAGAGAUGAGAGGGGUGGAACAGACCUUCCAUUCCAUGGCUGCUCUCCUGUACCAGUGGAUUUAGGCGUCGUCCCGUCGCUGGUUGCUGUACCUCACCUAUAGAGAAGAAGAGAAGGGAUGAAACGAGAUUGGGAUUAGGGGGGAGACGUUCAGAAAAGGAGAAGUAGAAGAGAAGGGGGAGGUGGGAUUCAUACCAUAGCACCGACCGUUGUCGAGGUCUUGGAGGCUGCGGUGGGUCGCCAUGGCCGUCGCUGGUCGCCGUUGCUCCUACUAAAAGGUGUUCGGAAGUAGAGCGCUUACCGGGGUAUCCGUAUGGUUGCAGUCAAGGCCGAUAUCUUCGGUGGUGUCCGGCCAUUGUUUUCGUUUCCCAAAAAAUAAUUUUCACAUUCCAUCGUGCGUAGUGCCGAAGAAGUGCUGAAGAGUCUGUGGCCCUUAUGGAUUAAACUCCCACAAGCGGAGAGGCUGUCGCUGGCACGACAGGGUCCGGCGGACUAGCAUUACCUGAACAACGUUGACAAGAUCGAUAUCCUUCUCAACAAGGCUUCGGAUACGACUCUGCAGAGUCCGCACUUCAUCAACUAAUCCCCAGUCCAAUCCCUUAUUAAUCCAUGAUGCAAGCUGAAUUGGGGGGCUGGACCGGAAUGCAGGCGCAGCUGCCCACUUGGAACCACGGGGCUCGGUGAUAUAGAACCACUCCUGCUGCCGUAAGCCGGAAGAUUCUGUGAAGGAUCCUUUUAGCCAAACAUCGCUGGUAAGCUUGCUCACUGGGGCACCACCACACUCCACCUGCUCCCCCUCUAUCACUUGCGGCUUUACAUUGAAGGUCUUGAGCCACAAGCCAAAGUGCGGAGGAGUUCGGAGGAAGGCUUCGCACGUGACGAUAAACGUCGAGAUGAGAAGAACAGAGUUCGGGGCGAGAUCGUGAAAAUCAAGUCCAUAAUAAAACAUGAGCCCCCGGACGAAGGGAUUAAGGCAAACCCUAAUCCUCGGAGGAAGUGGGAAACGAACACGACCCUCUCGCCGGAUCUGGGGGUAGGGAUAACCUGCCCUUCCGCGGGAAGCCGAUGGAGGAUUUUUGCGGUCAGAUAUCUUGCCGCCCGAAGCUUCGCAAUAUCCUCCUCUAUGACAGAAGAAGCCACCCACGGGCCCUGACGGCUGGAUCCGGACAUGACUAAGGCUUGUGGCGAUUGAAACCCGGGUGUUGGAACUCGAGGUAGUAAGGGUCGAGGAAGAAGCAAGCGUGGAGAAGAAAGACGGGUCUGUACCCCUUUAUAAAGGCCGUGAAUAUCGAACGCCUCCUCCUGGGCCUUAAAACUUGCCUAUUCCCAAGGAGUUGUGCCCUAAAGACGGUUGGGUUACCCACGCCCAUGUCGAUAAAGAAUCCCUUAAUAAAGGGACACGAUCUCUGCUUGGAUAAGACGUGCCAAUGACAACCGCGUCUCGGAACGUGGGGCAGCAGGCGAAAAAAACAAUUCGAAAUGAUGACCGGACUNNNNNNNNNNNNNNNNNNNNNNNNNNNNNNNNNNNNNNNNNNNNNNNNNNNNNNNNNNNNNNNNNNNNNNNNNNNNNNNNNNNNNNNNNNNNNNNNNNNNUGAUAGCAGCUCCAUGAACCCACCCUUAGUAGGUGACCCCAUCAACACCCCCUAACCGCCGCCGCCGCCGCCGGUGAGUUUUAGGUAGUGUGUAGUUGUUGUAGAAUUUUUAAUGUAAGCUUAUAGUAUAAGAUUUUAUUGUAGUUGCAGUGUAAGAGUAGUGUAGAAUAUUUAGUGUAAGAGCAGUGUAGAAUUUUUAGUGUAAGAAUAUAGUGUAAGAGUAGUGUAGAAAUUUUUAUGUAAGAUUAUAGUAAAAGAUUAUAGUGUAGUUUUAGUGUAGUCCUAUGUAGUGUAGUUGUAAUGUAAGAUUUUAGUGUAGCUGUAUUGUACAUUUAAUUACAUGGUAGAUUGUAGGUUUUCCAAGUACUCGUCAAUAUGUCUAAUUUUUACUAACUAGUUAGGUAUAUAUGCACCAUCACAGAUGGCUCCGAAGUUUCGUGGUGUACAACAGAAGGGGACUAAGUACCAUGCGACCAUUAGGAAGGACAAUGUUGUCCAUGAGCUGGGCCACUGGGAUACCCCCGGAGUCAGCGGUGCGCGCCUAUGAUGCCAAGGUAGUUGAGUUCUACCAGGAAGCGGCGGUUCUGAACUUCCCUGAGUGUCAUGAGUCACUACAAGAAAUAUGUCAACUUGUGACCACCACUAUUGGUCGCUGAAAGGUCAUAGUUUUUCAUUUGCGACCUUUUUGUGACAAAAAACAGAAGGUCAAAAGCUGGUGGUCGUAAACUGAAAUUAGUGACCUUCUUUGUGAUAUGUAAAAGGUCGUUGGUUCCAUGACCAAAUUUUUGGUCACAAGCAACCUCCCCAGACCACGAGGCAUCCAGCGUGGCAAGCUGAUGUGGCACAAGAAUCAGCCCGGUCCGAUUCAGUGUUUUACAUGGGCCGAGCCCAACAAUUCAGCCUAUUUGUGUUUUUUUUCUGUCUAUCAAUUUUUUAUUUUUGGUUGGGUUCAUGGGCCAAGCCCAAUAUUGCAGCCUUUUUAUUGUUGGGCCGUUGCCUUUUUGUCUCAACAGUUUCAUUUUUUCUUUUUAUAAAGUGGGUUCACUAGUCAGGUGGGUCCCCAUUGUCAGGUUCUAGUACUAGGUCCUAGCCGGCAAUAUUCUUCAUUUUUUUAAUUUAACACAAAUAAAUACCUAGUAUUUAAAUUGGCACACAGAACACACGAAAUACUUCAAAUAUUAUCAACCAUCAAAGUGCUACAUCAUAUAACACACAUACAAAUGUGAUCAGCAUCAAGUUUACAAUCAGAUAACAAGCUCCACAAGUGUACAAUCACAUGAGCCAGAUUCUACUACAUCAUAUAACACACAUACAAAUAGGAGCAGCAUAAAGGGCUUCAUUACUCUCAGAACUAGCUCCAAUGAGCUAGAACUAUUCUUCCUCCGACUUCUUUGUCCUGAUGCUCACGAAGAAACAUGAAAGCCCAGCAUCUGCACGUUACAUAACAAAAUGUUUAGGAACAAAAUAGAAGUAAAUCUAACAGCAUAUUUCACAAUAAAUAGCCCAGCAUCUGCACGUUACAUAACAAGAUGUUAAUAUGCCAUCAUACUAGUUGAUAGACAAACAUUCCAGGAAGAAUUGAUGCUUGUUUAAUGGGUACAAUCAAUACUGCUAUCUCUAACAGACAAAUUUAAGGUUUUUAAUACAUUUUUUCUAUUAGCAAAACUGAAUAUGCUACUUCCUGAUGCAUGGCUGCAUAGUCCAGCUAGCUACACCAGUUUGCUCUCAUGCAAAAAUUAGAAAGAAAAAAAAGAACAACAAAU